rnacentral:rRNA from 1 species
CACUUCUAAGGAAGGCAGCAGGCGCGCAAAUUACCCAAUCCUGACUCAGGGAGGUAGUGACAAGAAAUAACAAUAAACCGGCUUAUGCCGGUUUAAUUGGAAUGAGUACAAUUUAAACAUCUUAACGAGGAACAAUUGGAGGGCAAGUCUGGUGCCAGCAGCCGCGGUAAUUCCAGCUCCAAUAGCGUAUACUAAAGUUGUUGCAGUUAAAAAGCUCGUAGUUGGAUUUCUGUGGGGACGGAGCGGCCGGCCGCAACACGCGGUUCGAGCUAGCGCUUUCCCUACAUCCUGCCGCGAACCGUGCUACCAUUAGUUUGGUGGCGCCGGGGAUCGGCUCGAGUACUUUGAGAAAAAUAGAGUGUUCAAAGCAGGCCACAUGCCUUGAAUAAGUUAGCAUGGAAUAAUAACUAAGGACUUCGGUUCUAUUUUGUUGGUGUUCGGGACUGAAGUAAUGAUUGAUAGGGACAGUUGGGGCGGUCUGUAUUCCAAAGCGAGAGGUGAAAUUCUUAGACCUUCGGAAGACAAACAGCUGCGAAAGCGUUCCGCAAGGAUGUUCCCUUUGAUCAAGAACGAAAGUUGGGGGAUCGAAGACGAUCAGAUACCGUCGUAGUCUCAACUAUAAACUAUACCAGCUAGGGAUCGGCCAACGUUAUUUCAUACCGACUUGGUCGGCACCUUAUGAGAAAUCAAAGCAUCUGGGUUCCGGGGGGAGUAUGGUCGCAAGGCUGAAACUUAAAGGAAUUGACGGAAGGGCACCACCAGCCGUGGAGCCUGUGGCUUAAUUUGACUCAACACGGGAAAACUUACCAGGUCCAGACAUAGUAAGGAUUGACAGAUUGAUGGCUCUUUCUUGAUUCUGUGGGUGGUGGUGCAUGGCCGUUCUUAGUUGGUGGAGUGAUUUGUCUGGUUAAUUCCGUUAACGAACGAGACCCCAGCCUGCUAAAUAGCGCGCGUGAGCUUUGCUCGCGGCGAGCUUCUUAGAGGGACUCUGAUGCGCGAUAGCACAUGGAAGUUUGGGGCAAUAACAGGUCUGUGAUGCCCUUAGAUGUUCUGGGCCGCACACGGGCUACACUGGCGCCUGCAACGAGCAUAUCAGCUGGCCCGAGAGGGUCUUGGCUAAUCUUUUGAACCGGCGCCGUGCUUGGGAUUGACCUUUGCAAUUGUUGGUCAUGCAACGAGGAAUGCCUUGUAAACGCGAGUCAUCAGCUCGCAUUGAAUACGUCCCUGCCCUUUGUACACACCGCCCGUCGCUCCUACCGAUGAAUGUUCCGAUGAAAUUUUCGGAGAGCACCUGUGAACUUGGCUCUGCCUUGCGAACGGGAGGCUCAAAGUCACUUAAAUUUGAACAUUUCGAGG